rnacentral:rRNA from 1 species
AGAGUUUGAUCCUGGCUCAGAACGAACGCUGGCGGCGUGCUUAACACAUGCAAGUCGAACGUGAAAGUGGCUUCGGCCAUGAGUAAAGUGGCAGACGGGUGAGUAACACGUGGGUAACCUAUCCCUUGGCGGGGAAUAACCACUCGAAAGGGUGGCUAAUACCGCAUAAGACCACGUCCCUGAUGGGAUGAGGUAAAAGAUUUAUCACCAGGGGAGGGGCCCGCGGCAGAUUAGCUAGUUGGUGAGGUAAUGGCUCACCAAGGCAACGAUCUGUAGCUGGUCUGAGAGGAUGAUCAGCCACACUGGUACUUAGAUACGGACCAGACUCCUACGGGAGGCAGCAGUGGGGAAUAUUGCGCAAUGGACGAAAGUCUGACGCAGCAACGCCGCGUGGGUGAAGAAGGCCUUCGGGUCGUAAAGCCCUGUCAGGUGGGAAGAAACCUGCGUAAGCAGCUGACGGUACCACCAAAGGAAGCACCGGCUAACUCCGUGCCAGCAGCCGCGGUAAUACGGGGGGUGCAAGCGUUGUUCGGAAUUAUUGGGCGUAAAGCGCGUGUAGGCGGCUUGUUAAGUUAGAUGUGAAAUCCGGGGGCUCAACCCGCGGUCUGCAUCUAAAACUGGCAGGCUUGAGUCUGGUAGAGGAAAGUGGAAUUCCCAGUGUAGCGGUGAAAUGCGCAGAUAUUGGGAGGAACACCAGUGGCGAAGGCGGCUUUCUGGGCCACGACUGACGCUGAGGCGCGAAAGCUAGGGGAGCAAACAGGAUUAGAUACCCUGGUAGUCC